CCUACGGGCGGCAGCAGUGGGGAAUAUUGGGCAAUGGGCGCAAGCCUGACCCAGCAACGCCGCGUGAAGGAAGAAGGCUUUCGGGUUGUAAACUUCUAUUAAGGGGGAAGAGCAGAAGACGGUACCCCUUGAAUAACCCACGGCUAACUACGUGCCAGCAGCCGGUGUAAUACGUAGGUGGCAAGCGUUGUCCGGAUUUACUGGGUGGAAAGGGCGUGCAGCCGGAGAGACAAGUCAGAUGUUAAAUCCACGGGCUCAACCCGUGAACUGCAUUUGAAACUGUUUCCCUUGAGUGUCGGAGAGGUAAUCGGAAUUCCUUGUGUAGCGGGGAAAUGCGUAGAUAUAAGGAAGAACACCAGUGGCGAAGGCGGAUUACUGGACGAUAACUGACGGUGAGGCGCGAAAGCGUGGGGAGCAAACAGGAUUAGAUACCCGAGUAGUC
rnacentral:rRNA from 1 species